GCGGCUCUAACCCUAACAUUACAGUAAGCGUGUCUAUAAAUUUCACAUCCAAAAGUCGUCAGCCAUGUACUUUGCUGUUUAGGUUGGCUUGUGAUAUUCUUAUAUGUGACAUUCAAUCUCUGUUACUGUGAUUUUUUUGUAUAUUAGGAUUUUCUUCAUCAUAUGCAAUAGCUUGUGAUUUUCUUCAGUAGGAUUUUGUGCUUAAUCUUACAAAUGUGUGAUUUCAAUUCUUAGACAGUGAAGAAGAUGAAAUGCCCUGUGAGGAAGAUCUCCCAUAAUUGAUAGGAAGUGCCGUAUGAGAAUCAAAACGCAGCGCCAAACGAAGAACUUGUUCUUUGCGGCGCUGUGUCUGUGAUUUGGAACGGGUCUCUGAGGGUUUUGUAUAUUUUAAAUUGUUUUUUAGGGUUAGGUCCGAUGCCACGUCGCUGGUAGCUUCAAUUCAGCGAUGACCAGUGAUGCUAUGAUUGGACCAAAAUCAAAAGUGAGUUUCGUUUGUUUCGCAUCCUGAUAGGAAUCUGUAGAUCUCAUACUUUACGAUCUGCGGAGCCGUUUUGUGCGAUUACAUUCUUGUUAUUUGAACUUUUUUGUGUCGUUUGCUUUUGUUUUAUGUUGUCAUUCAUGUGGCGAAGCCGGUGAUGAUUUAUUUUAUUUGGAAUUACCGUCUGAUAUUUGAUGAGAAUUUCUGGCUGACUGAGGCUUCGCAGAUGCAUGGCUGUAAAUGUGUUCAAAUUUUUCUGUCUAUUUUGUCUUCCGCCUGCCUUUAAUCUAGAAGUCACUUCUUUUUGUUCACGUUACUUGCCAUGCCUAUUUGUCCUAAUUUGCUUUGUUAAAUAUAAUAUUGUUGAACCACAUUCCAGUUUCCCUCUUCCUAUUUAGACACAGGAAUCUGAAUGGCCUUUAGACCCAUUCUAUUGCAUAUGAAGCUUUGUUAAUUUUCAUGCCAACCUGAUGGAAUGUGGUUGUGUGACUUUAAAAUUGAUAAUUUUAAGUGUAUGAUAUCCUUUCUUGAAGGUUUCUAACAAGUUUGAUUUUGUUUGUCAUUGACGGAGCAUGUAUUAUUAUCCUACGAAUUAAAGAAAAAAAUAGAACAAAACCUAUAUAAAAUACGGAUCUAAAUGCAUCCACUAAAGCCUUUAAUCAUCUGGGCUUAAGAUUAUUUUUGGCCCCAUAAGAAAAGUUCUGUGUAUAAUGAUAAUUAGGCAAUUGCUUCCUGCAAUUUAGCUAAUUUGAGAUAAAAUCGCAACUGAGGUGAAAGGGAGACCAAACGUGCAACUCCAGAACAGUGCAGGUGAAAAAGAAGGAAGAUAAAAAAUUAGGGUUAAAUUAAAACGCUAGUUUUAAUAUUUCACACAUUUGACGAGUACAUGAAGUAAUAGCCUUUUUUUUAUAUUUUACAGUGUGAUAUAAUAAAAGAAAUAUUGUACAAGGAAUUUGUAGUAUUCCAACCAUUAAUAAAUCAAGAUUCUAUACUUUUCUUAAAUGUGAAAGAGAUAUACCCGGGGCAAAAAAAAUGUAAGAUAUAGAAGGGGAAUGUUGUUUUUUUUUUUUCAUUUUUUGUCUUUAUGCAUUAGAAAAGGGUGUUCGAAUUAUUAACAUAGUUCCCUUAUUGAACUUUUUUUUUAAGAGGGGAAAAAGAAAAAUUCUUUUUUUAGAUAAAAAUUUAAAAUUUGUUCAAGUAAAUCGGUUUUUCUGUCAUGAAUGAUAAAUCACUAGGAAAAUCCAAUAUUUUAAAAUUGUAUCUAAAAUGAUUGGAAAAGUGAAGACAAAACCGGAUAUAAUUUGAUCAUUUUGAGCAAAUAUACAGAGAAAACAAAAUGUUUGACAAAGAUUUAUAUUAAAUUUGAAAUCAUUAAAUAUUUGUUAUUAAUUUAUGAGUUAAAUAUAAUUUUAUUUUCAUUUUAUUUUUAAAUACAUUGGUUUUAAUCUCCUUUUUAUAGAUGCCAACUUUUAUCUUACUUGGCAAACAAUGUUUUGUUUCACGGCAAAAAAUAAAUUAUAGAUGUAACAUAGAAAGAGAACAAAUUCUUUUUUUUUCAGUUUUUUAACGAACGUAACUUCAUUUUUUAUAAUGCUUCUACAUAAAUCUAGAUUGUAUUUUGUAUUUUUUUAAUUAAACUCUGGAAAUUAGUAUUUAUCUUUUUCUAAUUUAGAAAAAAAAUACAUAAAUCAAAUAAGAAAUGGAAAGAAUGCAUUGUCAAUUCCGAUUGAAAAAAAAAAAUAUAUAUUAAAGGCUAAGAUUAAAAGAAAAUAAAAUUUCUUUUUAAUAAUACACCAAAAAACACUUAUGAUAUUCAAAUUUCCAAAUCAAAUAAUGUCCCAUUUAUAGAAUUUGAAAUGUUUUAAUUUUUUUUUUCAAAAUAUUUCAAUUGGUACACUUAUCCAGAAACCUGUAUUGAGUGGUUACUUUUGGAGAGGGCUUUGGAGGUGAAGUUGGGAUGAUGCAAUGACGAAGAUUCUUUUAUUCAAGGUGUCCGAUGAAGAAGAUAGACCCUUAUGUGAAGGAGAUGAUCCUGUAAUUUGAGUUUCUUUUUUAUAUUAAAUUUUUAUUAAAAAAAAUGAUCAUGCAAGAUAAAAUUUGACCUUGUUAAAAAACAAAUAACUAAAAUAAAUCAUACUUUUUUUGUUAUAAUUGAGAAAUAAAAACAUGUUUAACUUUUAAUUUAUAACUAUUUGUUUACAUGAAAAAAUUGUACUAUUAUUAAUUUAUAUAUUAUUAAAUAAUAACAUUUAUUUUUAUUUUCUUAAAAUAAAAAAAUCUUAGAAGAAAAACUCAAAAGUAAUUAUAAAAUAAGUACAUUCUGUCUUGAUAUAGAUUAAUAUUUUUUAUUGAAUGAUAAUAUAAGAAAACUUUAAAUAUAGACUAUUUUCUCUUUUAAUAUUUAGUGUAUAUUUAAAUUUUAUACACUUGAGGUAAAAUUAAUACAACUUUUUUACAUAUCUAGAAUAAAUUUGUCCAAAUAUUAGGAAAGUGGGCAAGUAAAAAUAAUAUUACUAGUUGUGUGAUUUAAAAAAUAAAGUUAUUAUGGUUUAAUGUGACUUUCUUAAAUUUCUAAAAAAGUGAAUUGAUGAAGAAUAAGGAGGAAACCAAAGUCGUCUUCAUGACUCUGGACCAUAUCACAAAUGAUGCUACAAAUAUCUCCUUUCCACGCAUCUCAAAAUUUGCUUAACACGAUAACAUUUAUUUUGAAUUCUUCCUUGUCUACUUCUCUACGUCGGGCCUCAUCUUUCUCUGGUCAUAACAAUAGAAUAACCCUAUACAUAAUAUUUCGAUGAUAAAUAAGUUUACACUUUAGACCCUAUAACAGAUACUAAGCAUGUGAUCCGUUUCAACGAGACCAUCCCAAACCUGCAGUGCCAACAUUUCCGACUGGUUGAAUAGGUUCCACCAAGCCCUUCGUAGAGCUUCCAAGCCCCUCCCCCUGCAUAAAUCAUAUAAAGUAGUUACAAUCAUAAUCCCAAACCAUUCGACAAAUAUGUGAUACGACUCGGCGUUGUUCUUCAUGGCAUAAUGGCGUGAUGAGAAUGGCUCCUAAACAAGGUACGACUAUUUUAUGAUGGGUGUAAUCAUAGAUUGUCGUAAAACUCAUUUUAUGAUUUUUGAUAACUGACGAUGGAAAUCUUAUUCUUUUGUUGGUCGAUGAAAAUUAAACUUUUAUUUUACAUAGGUAGGGGGUUGUGUGGCUCAUUUCAAGACCUACUACAUUACCAAAUUCAAAUACACCUGUCUUCCUCAUGGUGUGGCGCCUUUUGAGCUAUAAGUGUGUGGCAUAGGAAAAAUAAAGUAAUUUGAUGAUAAGUAUGAAGAUACCUCCUUCCAACCCAUGCUUUUCAGAAGUUUUCUGGCAUAACUACCUGCUCCAAAUGACAUCUCCAAGGCCUCUGAUGCAGCUUCUUGAGGACAACCAGCAUCAGGUGAAGAUGGCGAAUUAUAAACAUCAGGCAGAUUCUUCUGUCCUGGACCCAUGCCGAAGCCACCAUGCAAUAUUCUUCUUUCAGCGGCCCUAUCUCUGUAUUGAUGUUUAAUUUGCUGUCAGAGCAAACAAAAAACGAGUUGAAGGUUAACCGAUUCUGGAUAUAUCCUUAGAUGUGGUCAAUUAUUCUAUAGAAAGGGUGAUCAUGUAAGAAAGGAAAGACAAGUUUAGAGCCUUUAUCUCUAUGUUGUUAUAUUCUCUCUUUCCUAUUCGAUCCAGUCAACUUCCAUAACCCACAACUCUUACUGAAGUGGUCACUUUCCACUCAAAUAUGUUAUGAGAAAGGAAAAUUAUAAGUCAUAGCAUGUGUUACAUUACUUUCAUCCUAUGUCCUUUCUCAAGAAGUUGGGCAUCCAUUUAUCUACUAUAAAAUUAAGAAAAAUGCAGCUAUUUGUUUGAUUUCAACAUCAGACUACACACCUUAGAUACAGAGGGCUGACUUGGUAAUGCAGACAAAUCCUUCUCUACAGGGAUAUCAUCUGAAACUGAAGCAGAGCUUUCACUGGAUUUGGAGAGCUGAGUGAUUUUUCUAUUAGGUGAUAGCUGGGGAAAAUCCCAAUGUUUUGUUGGAUUUGAGGAAUCAUAAGUUGAUAAUGAAGCCAUGUAUUUUGCACUAGGAUUUCGCAAUCUGUACACUUGUCCUGUUGAAAGAACAUGAUAAGCAUAUGUAUUUAUCCCAGAGUAUUCUAGCUCUAUCAUUCUACUCAAAAUUCCCAUACUUCUUCAUUUUAAAACUACACACUCAUCCAUGAGAAUGAAAUUAAUGACAGGUUGUAUAGGAAAGGCAUACAAGCAAGAAAGUUUGUAAUUUUUUGAAUUACAUGUUAGUAAAUGCCUCCAUUAUCACUUUUUUAAUACUUACAUCUCCUUAGAAAUGACAACAAAAUUCGUACUUGUAGAUAUCCACAAGUAAAAUCUGCUAUAUCAAACAAGUAAAUUUAAUGGAUACUAGCCAACAACGGGCAUAAGUAUUUUAGGUACCCACCUAUUAAUGGGACAGGUAUAGGUAUUGCAUGAUCCAACCUACGAUAUACUUACAUUUGUUUUAAGUGAUUUUUAUUUGAAUAUUUUUUCUUUUAGGAAUAAGUGAUCAGAGUAAAGUUAAUGACAAGGAAAACGCUAAGAAUUGAGAAAAAUGGUUAAUAAUUUUAUUAUGCAUAUUUAUCUUUUAAUUUAGACUUAUAGAAUUAAAAUUGUUUUUAAAGAGAUUAAUUUAAUUUAAACUUAUAUUUCGCAAUGCAACUUAUAUGCAUUUGCCUUUUAGAAAGAUUGAUUUUAUUUGAACUAAUAUUUUAUGAUGCAACUUUAUUUGGAUUAUUUAUAGAUCAUUUUUUUAUGAGUUUAUAUUUUAAAGAAAUUAUUUAAACAAUCUUAAUAGAAGAUUUCAAAAAAUAAAAAUUAUUUAAAACAAUCCAUGGAUAUCCAUGUGUAUAAAAUAAAAAAAGAAUCCAUGGGUAUCCACGUGUAUAAAAUAACCUACAAGGUACCUGACAAACAAUAGGUCAGGUAUUUUAGACAGAGGGGGUAGUAAGUAGCUAGUAUACGUUGCUGCAGGCACCCAUUGUCAUCCCUACUCAUGACAGGGUGUAUGAUAAGUACUAACAAGUGCUAGAGUAAAAUGCAAACCUGUUCUAACUCGUACCAGAUCAAGAUGUGCUUCACAGAUGGGAGCAGAUCUUAAUUUCCCUCCACCAGAAGGGAUAGAUGGAUGUUGUUUUGCAGAUGGUCUGACCAAUCUUCCAACCAACCUUGCAACUUUAUCUUUUUCAUCUCUUUUGAAUCUCGUAACCAUUUCCCAAUCCCACAAGUCCACAAUUGGAACCUCUAAAACCAAAUCUUUCCCUGAUUCAGUAACUUGACCAUAUUGAGCUCGCCAUUUCUCUUCAUCCGAUAACACACCUGUAAGGAAGAGCAAGCCUAUUUAAGACAUAGAUCAAGUCUAUUUAAGAGAUGAGUCAAGUCUAUUUAAUACCUUCAUCUAUGGUACUUCUAUCAGCUAUGUCACAUUCAUCCUCCAUGUCCGGGAUCCACUCACCCUCUUCCAGUUCAUAAGAGUUGUUGUAAGCUACACCUUCAUCUACAAUACUUUUAGUAUCAGCUAAGCCAUUUUCACCUACUUGGUUUGGGUUCCACUCACCUUCCACUUCAUAAGUUUUGCUGUAAGCUAUACAUUCAGGAAGCAAAUUCAUUUACAAACUGUGUUAGCUACCACAUAACAAAAAAUGAUAGAAGUUAUGCACAAACCAUCAGCUGCUAAAGUGUUAUAUCCAUCAUCUGUUUCCAGCGGCACUGUCACGCCAUCAACUUCACUUACUGCUAUAUUCUUGUAGCCAGACAAGUACAGAUCAAUAAGUGUGUCCUCUAACCUGUUAGUUGGCAAAUGAGUAAUUUACAUAUGAAAAGUUUGAAGGUAAAAAUCAUCAAUGGAAUAGGGAUGUGCAAGUUGGAUACCAUUCGGAUGGUGGUGGAGGUGGCCUUUCAGAAGUUGGACUACUCACAGAAUUUGUGCCAUCUGUUUCAAGGACAGACACUUAAGAUAAAUUAUGUUACUCAUAUUAACUACUGCUGCAUCUGAAACAUCAAAGUGUUCGAAGAGUAGACCAAUUGUCUACUAUAUUAAUACAAUCAAAGUGCAAAUAUCGGGCAUUUGGCAAGGCAGCACUUGGUAGCAACCCCCUGUCCCUGCAUACUGUGACCUAUCAUCGUUAUACUAUAAUAUUGUUGACAAGAUUGUUUUUUAUAACAUUGUCGGGAAUUAAUGCAAAUGCAGAAACAGUUGAAAGUUCAUAUGCAUACCAUCAAGUGCUUCAUUAGCCAGGAUUCUUGUCUGUUGGUUUGUUUCAGAUCUAUUUUCAAGAAAGGAAAAAUAAUCCUCGAUGUCGUUCCCCUCAGAGAUUUGUUGAGGACUUUCUGUGGUAGUUUCCUUGCCCAGAUAUGUGUCUGCAUUAUCGUCCUAAGCAUCAAGCAAUCAAACUAAAUUUACAACAUAAAACAUUGAUUUAAGAAUUUAUCUAUUAAAAAAAAUGUUAAAUAGAUUAUUUAGAAGUCCAACUCCAAACCUACCUUAUUGGAAUCUAAAAGUACAUAAUUCCCAUCCUCAAAUUUGUAAUAAGCACCAUCUCUGCUGCUAUAAUACCACCCGGCAUUAGGGUCAUGGUAAAAUCCACUACUGCACAAAGUCAAAUACAUUUCCUCAACAAAUGAAUAUGGGGGGAAAGUUAACGAAGGAAAUUUAUACUAACAAGACGAAAAAACAAAAGUAGCUCAUUAUAUUCAUGAUUUACAUCAGUACAGACAACCAGACGCAAACCAAAUCAAAGAUAAAGGAAAUAUCUGUUAUGUUGGAGGGUGUGGAAUCAAAUAAGUCAUUCCUGUGUUUGAUCAGGAUGUUGGAAAGAAAAAGCUCAUUCCCAAUCCCAUUUAAUUUCAUCUAAAAAACCAGAAAUUAUUCUCCAUCAUAUUUUCUUUCCGACAAUUCUAACAUACCAAGCAUAAGAACGGAGAAAGGUAAUAAUUAUUUCAUUCAUAUUCAUAUCAAACAAGUGAUAGAAGCUGACCAUUCUGUUUUCAUUCCAUCCACGUCGAUAAUUACGCUAUUAAACGCUAAUUUGAACAACAUGAUAGCUUCGGAGUCACGCAAUAUGUUCAGAAGCUCAGCAGAUAUAAACAAGCACAAAUACAAGAUGAAAUUUUAAAGUUCCAAAGAUACGAAUUACUACAAAUUAAACUGCAGGAAAGAAUGAAUAACCAUAGCUUGCAGAAAUUCUCAUGCAAUGAAUAAUUAAAAUGCGAGCAUGGCUUUGUUAAGGAUUAAGAGCAAACAGAGUAAUGAUUAAUUUUUUUGGUGAGAAUUGUUGUUCGAAAUUAGGGGUGAAAAGAAAACCUAGCGUGGAAGUAAAGCUGUGAUUUGUGAUCCCAAACAAAGGUAGAAUCACUAUUUUCACGAUUUUCAGAAUCUGCGUCCAUAGCUUCUGCACUUCAAUGGCUGAAUCUCUCGUCGGCGUUGGAAUCUCCACACUAUCUUCUUCAUGCUUCUCGGCCCAACCCAAUAUUCCCCUUCUCAAAUUCUACAUCAACUUUUUAAUUAGAGUGUAUAACCAAUAAAUUUUUAAUUAAGGUGUAUAACCAAUGACUUGGCUGAAAUUAAUCAUAUAUAUUAAUUAAGUUUUUAUUUUUAUUUGAAAUCAUAAAAAUUUAUGACAUAUGUAAACUAUUAACCUUUUUACUGCUUUAUAUAUCAUUCUUCAAAAUUUCACUUUAAUAAAAUGUUUAGAACAUUUUGAACUUUUAACUUUAUAAUGUUUUUUUUUUCUUUUUGACUAUUUUUGAUGGAGAAACUUAUCAUGUUACUCAUUUAUAAGCUACUAUAUAUAUAAUUUUUAAAAAAUAUAAUAAAAAUAUUUUUAUUACAAAAAGUUAUAAUUGGAGGAUGGCGUAUAAUGUUUUAGUAUUAUCGGGGUAUUUUAAUUAAAUUUUUAUGAGAGUAUCUUAUAAAAUUAUGAUUUGGGAAAGUAAUCUAAAAAUUCAAUUGUAAAAAAAGUUUAAGAAAUGGUAGUGUGAAUAUUAAAAUGCUCAAAUGUUGUCUUAUUCUAAAUGGUAAUAUCAUUAAAUGCAUUUUGAAAAAUUUUCCCAUUCGAAUUGUUUCAUUAGUGUGGAAUAACACUUUAACAUAUUCCUAUGUUAGGUGCAUUGUGAUGACUGGAAUGCUAUUAUAUAUACUUUAUGAUAUACUACCUUUUUUUAUCAAUUAAUAUUAUAUAUUUUAUAUUUGAUGUCUAAAUAAAAUAGAGUUUUCUAAAGCGGUAUUAUAUUUCAUUGUGAUUAGGGAUAGUUGAUAUCUGUAACGUCACUUGUCUUCACACAUCAAUACGAGAUUUUUCAAUGUGUUUUAUCCUCACUCGCACAUUUUUUGGGAAAACUUCUCAGAAGGUCACCCAUCUCUAAAUUACUCUAGACUAAACACGCUUAACCAUGAAAUUUUUAUGGGUUAGGCUAUCGAAAAGCAAAUGCAUUUGUUGAUAUGAGUAUGAACUAUAUGGUUGAAAGAUAGCUUAAAGGAAUUAAUUUGCUUUUGGGUAGUCUAACCCAUAAGAACUCCAUGGUUAAGCGUGCUUAGGCUGGAGUAAUUUAGGGAUGACCCGAAAAAAGUGCGUUAAUGUGUGGGGGCAUUCAAUACACCCUGUAAGUUGUUUUUGUAAUUGCAGGAGUGCACCCACGCAAGAUCAUCCUGGCACUUCAGUUACAAUACCUUCAUCUCAGGUAGCACAAUUUAUCAUGACCUGAAUCAAACACGGUUCCACACACGAUGCUCUUCAACAUCAUGUAACAUAGUCAACACUUUUUUUCUUUUUAAGGUUUCUCCAAGGCAUGCUCGAAUUAACUAUAAGGAUGGUGCCUUCUUCUUGAUUGAUUUGCGGAGUGAACAUGGCACCUGGAUCAUUGAGUAAGUAAAAGAAAUAAAAAGUACUUUGUUUUACUUGAAGUUUUAAAUUCUUNACAAAUCUAUUUAACAUNAUUCUGAUUAUGUUUUCANCAAUGAGGGAAAGCAGUACCGGGUACCCCCUAAUUAUCCUGCUCGCAUUCGCCCAUCUGAUGCUAUUCAGUUUGGUUCUGAGAAGGUGAGAUGAGAGGUUAUAAAAAGUUGUUGCAGUUUUCAUAUUACACAUUUGUACCUUCUAGACCUUAUACUAGGUAUAUGAGAUACCACUAAUCAUUAUAUCAGAAAGCCUUAGUUUGUUCUUUUGACUGAUGACUAGUUUCAUUCACAGCCUAUAAGAAUUGCACAUUAAUAGUUGGAUGGUUCAAUCUCGCAUUGAGUAGGGUUACUUGUUCACACUGCAUCUCACACUUAAAGGUUUAAAACAAAACUAUUACUUUAUUUAAGAUGUGUGCACNAAAGUUAUUCAAGUGACAUUCCACAUUUCCCUUCUCAUUUUUCUGAGAAAAAUGUUUCUGCUCAUUUACUGACAAUAACAUACAAUCUCCAAUUAAUGCAUAUGAUGUCUGAGCAUCCAAGUUGUCUGCAGGUUUCAUUUCGUGUUAAGGUGACAAGGUCUGUUCCAAGAAUCUCAGAGAAUGAAAGGCCUCUGACGUUGCAGGAAGCGUGAGUGGUUCAGUUAGUGGCAAUUUGCCACCAUGAAGAAAGACCCCCAGGUUGAGACCUCCUGCUCCUCUCACGACAUGACUCAUCACUCUCUAAUUGAGCAUGAAACCCCAAAUUAGUACUUUAACCUCCUCUUUCAGGAAUAUCAUCAUCCAUACGGUUUUUCAUAAAAAACAUUUCCAUUUCAGCAUACAUGAACUUACACAAUAAUUCAUACAAUUAUAAAUUCUCAAGAUUUCAUUAUGACGUUAAUAAUCACUAUCUACUCAAUUUAGAACAUCCAAGCUAUCAUAUAACCAUAUAAACACACCAAUAACACAUUUAAAACUUCCUAUUACAUAUAUGAAAGACAAAUUAACUUCCCUUACUUUAGGGAGAACUACUACGACUCUAAGAACACUCAAUCAUUCCUUCCAUAGUAGGGAACUCUAGAAAAGCCUACAAUUCACUAAAUUGUAAUCAUAAUAAAACCUUAAAACCUCAAUUUAACCAAGAACCAAGAAAGAAACACAUUUGGUACAUGCGAAACAAAUUUCUAUGCAUGAUCAUAAAUCAAGAAUUAAAGGAAAAAAGUAGUAGAAUCUUACUUGCUCUAAACAAAGAAUUGAUCAGAUAAAAGUGAAGAUUACUCCGUCGUGAUAUUGUAGGAACCUCCUGAUUGUUAAACAGAUGAUUGAGGAGUGAGAAAAAGUAGACAAAUGCAAGAGAGAACUAGAAGAAAGAGUUUUAGAAAGAUAAUUGAUGUUUUAAGUAAUGAUACAAGUUUACAAAAUUCUAUUUAUAUUAUCCAAUUAUUGUAAUUUUAUAAUACUUGAUCACCUAUUAAUUUUAAUAUUCUAUUUUUUAAGUCUUACAAUUAUAAUCUUAUUUUUUAUAUUAUUAUUAUUAUUUUUAUUUUAUUUAUUUAUUUAUUAUUAUUUUUUUAUUUUAUUAAUGUGGUGCACAAUAUCAAUUAUAUGAGAGUGUUUGUUAUAUCUAAACACGAUCAAAUAAGUUUAAUUUUUCAUUGUCAAGAGUCUAAUUUUUUUUUUCAAAUUGUGUAAAAGAAAAAAAGUAAAGAAUAAAAUAUUUCCUUCACGAUUAGUUACAUAUUAAUAUUAAUUUUUUUUCUCUAAUAAACAUACAUAACAAUAAUUUAAAACUAAAUCCAUGUUCAUUUACUCAAUCAUUACAUUCAAAAAAAAUUAACAAGAUUAAAAUUUUUAUACUAAGAUUGAAUUUUCUUUUAUGAUGCUAAAAAUGAAAAAGAUAAUACUAUUUAUAUUAAACCGACUCAUAUAUUACUUUAGAUUAGAUUGAUUAAUUUACAACUAUCAGUUAAGUAAUUUAUUAUGCAUAGGAGAUAAAUAGAGAUAUUUAAUAAAUAUCUCAUUAUUUUUUUCAUAAUUAACUUUUCCUAAACAUUUUGUUGUCUAAAAUAUUUUUUGAAAUAUAUAAUUAAAAGGGAGUUGAUGCCUGCACCUCCACCGGUUGGAGAUCCACCUCCCCAAUUAUUUUUUUAUUUUUCUUAAUUCCAAAACUAACCUUUUUGUUUUUUGUACUUUUACUCUUUUAACCCUAUUNAAAAAAGUAACCCUAUUAAAAAAAGUUACCCUAUUUACUUUAUUCUUUACUUCAUCAGAUUUUCACAUUUCGAAACUUUCGAAACCCCUUCUUCUUCAGACCCCACCCCUCCCCCCACCACCUUUCAUUUUCACAAAAAGCUUUGAACUUUUCGAACUUCCCGCGGUUGUGUGCGGUGGUACGCGGUGCGUCACGGACGAUGGUCAUGGCUCUGUAGUGCGGUGUGGAUGUGAGGCACGGUAGUCGUGGUUCUGUGGGUGUGUGCGGCCUUACAGCGGCGGCAGUGCGGCGUGUGCGGCGACUCGUUUGGUUUCUUGGUUUCUGCCGUCGACAGGUUAGUUUUCGUUGUUUAAUUUCUUGGUUUGCAAGGGCGUGAUUUAGGGUUUAAGAUUUUAUUGUGUUUUCCUCUGCGCAUUGUUGUUUUGGUUUGUUCUAAGAAGCUUAUGGUCUUUGUGUUAGACGUCGUCUGUGUGUGUGCGUAGGAGGAACAAGAUAGAGGAAGAAGACAGACUUUAACGGAUGUCGGACAUCCGUCGACGGAUGUGGACAUCCGUGUCAGGACCGAACGGAUGUCGACAUCCAAGCUUGAUUUUUUAUUUUUACGUUUUUCAUUUAUUUUAUAAGUUUGUAACUUAAUUAUUUUGUUUUAAUUUUUUUAUUUUAUUUUGUAUUUUUAAUUAAUUUAUAAAGUAUAUAAAUUUAAUAUCAUUUUAUUUUGUAUUUUAUUCUGCCAAGGAUUCUUAUAGGAAAAUUUUUCCACUCAACAAAAAUUGUGAAAAGAGAACACAGACGAAAAGCCAAAUGAAACAAUUGAAACAGAAAAUGAAGAGAGUAAAACGUAAAAAAAAAAAUAGGUUUUUUUUAGGAUAUUAGAAUUACAAUUAAUUUAUAAAUUAGAUUUUAUUAAAGGGUAUAAUAGGAAUAUAAAUAAUUAUUAAAAAAAUAAAUAAAAAAAGAAAGGAUAAAAAUGGAAUGGGGAGGUUGAGGUCCAAAGAGGGGAGGUGUAGGGAUCAACGCCCUAAUUAAAACAGUCUUGGGCCAUUGCAUAACCUCAAAGCCCAAAGCCUUUUAGAUUUGCGGCUCUAACCCUAUCUAUAAAACUCACAUCCAAAGCUCUUCCUCCCUGUCAUUAACUUUCUACGGUUGGUUUCAGAACUCAGUGGAACUCAUGGCAGUGUCUUCAAUCUCCGUUACUGCUUCACAGCAAUUCAAUAGCUUGUAAUUCUCUUCAUUAUAAUCAGGUUAGAAUUUUGUGCUUAAUUUUACGAAUGUUCGAUUCUUAGACAGUGAAGAAGAUGAAAUACCCUGUGAGGAAGAUCUCCCAUAAUUGAUAGGAAGUGCCGUAUGACAAUCUAAACGCAGCGCCAAACGAAGAAUUUGUUCUUUGUGGCGCUGUGUGUGUGAUUUGGAACGGGUCUCUGAGGGUUUUCUAUUUAUUAAAUUGUUUUUUACUUUUUAAUCUGGUUUUUUAGGGUUAGGUCCGAUGCCACGUCGCUGGUAGCUUUAAUUCAGCGGUGACCAGUGAUGCUAUGAUUGGACCAAAAUCAAAAGUGAAUUUCGUUUGUUUCGCAUUCUGAUAGGAAUCUGUGGAUUUCAUACUUUAUGAUCUGCGGAGCCGUUUUGUGCGAUUACAUUUUUAUUGUUUGUUUGAUCUUCAUGUCGUUAGUUUCUUGAUGUUGUCAUGCCUGUGGCGAAGUCGACGAUGAUUUGUUUUAAUUGGAAUUACCGUCUGAUAUUUGAUGAGAAUUUCUGGCUGACUGAGGCUUCGCCUUUGCUAAAAAAUAUUCAACUUUUACGUUUUGAUUUACCUUUAAUGGAAUUCAUUUUUUUUUGUUGUUCUUUUAUUAUUAUUUUUAAUUUUUAAUUAUUAGAAGGUUCAGGUAAAUAUUUGUAGGGUAUUUUUUCCUCACCUUCGUAUUUUCUUUGUCCACCUCCAUGUUUAUAUUGAAAUGACUUCUUCAUACAAAAUUUAUUUAAAACCCUAAUAUUUCGCCUAAUAACUUUUUUGGAUUCUUUUUCUCAUUUUUUGCAGGAAAAGCUUUACCUCGGUGAAUAUCUUUGGCUGAGAGCUGAGAAUUUUGAAGCUUUAAUUCAAUCAUUUUUUUGAAUUUGAAUUUAGUGUUACUCUGUUUAUAUUCUCCGC
rnacentral:lncRNA from 1 species